AAAUGGAGCAGACCUGGAUAGAAAGGAGGCUGUUAGAUUGGAUCAAUCUAUGCUUCUGAUGACUUCAAACUGCUGGACAAAAGACAUAUCCUGGCCACACUCCAUUUGACUUGGAAGAAGAUGAUGAGCAUUGAAGAACCUCCAUUUGGAGAUGGCUUCAUUUAUGCCAAGCUCACUACCAGGCAAUGAAAAUGCCCUAACUUCAUCUACAGACAGAAUGCUGUCUAGAAAGGAUGAGUUUAAAUGCAAGAGAGUUGAAUACUGGAUUCUGCUAAGACAAUACACUAUGGCCUUAUGGACUGAAGCUUUGAAUUACAGGGGUGGAAACCGAGAGGACACUGAGGAAAAGAAGGUCCA